GAUGAACGCUGGCGGCGUGCCUAAUACAUGCAAGUCGAGCGAACAGACGAGGAGCUUGCUCCUCUGACGUUAGCGGCGGACGGGUGAGUAACACGUGGAUAACCUACCUAUAAGACUGGGAUAACUUCGGGAAACCGGAGCUAAUACCGGAUCAUAUAUUGAACCGCAUGGUUCAAUAGUGAAAGACGGUUUUGCUGUCACUUAUAGAUGGAUCCGCGCCGCAUUAGCUAGUUGGUAAGGUAACGGCUUACCAAGGCAACGAUGCGUAGCCGACCUGAGAGGGUGAUCGGCCACACUGGAACUGAGACACGGUCCAGACUCCUACGGGAGGCAGCAGUAGGGAAUCUUCCGCAAUGGGCGAAAGCCUGACGGAGCAAUGCCGCGUGAGUGAUGAAGGUCUUCGGAUCGUAAAACUCUUUUAUUAGGGAAGAAAAACUGCGUAAUUAACUAUGCACGUCUUGACGGUACCUAAUCAGAAAGCCACGGCUAACUACGUG
rnacentral:rRNA from 1 species